rnacentral:rRNA from 1 species
UUAACACAUGCAAGUCGAACGGGAAUUACUUUAUUGAAACUUCGGUCGAUUUAAUUUAAUUCUAGUGGCGGACGGGUGAGUAACGCGUGGGUAACCUGCCUUAUACAGGGGGAUAACAGUCAGAAAUGGCUGCUAAUACCGCAUAAGCGCACAGAGCUGCAUGGCUCGGUGUGAAAAACUCCGGUGGUAUAAGAUGGACCCGCGUUGGAUUAGCUUGUUGGUGGGGUAACGGCCCACCAAGGCGACGAUCCAUAGCCGGCCUGAGAGGGUGAACGGCCACAUUGGGACUGAGACACGGCCCAGACUCCUACGGGAGGCAGCAGUGGGGAAUAUUGCACAAUGGGGGAAACCCUGAUGCAGCGACGCCGCGUGAAGGAAGAAGUAUCUCGGUAUGUAAACUUCUAUCAGCAGGGAAGAUAGUGACGGUACCUGACUAAGAAGCCCCGGCUAACUACGUGCCAGCAGCCGCGGUAAUACGUAGGGGGCAAGCGUUAUCCGGAUUUACUGGGUGUAAAGGGAGCGUAGACGGUGUGGCAAGUCUGAUGUGAAAGGCAUGGGCUCAACCUGUGGACUGCAUUGGAAACUGUCAUGCUUGAGUGCCGGAGGGGUAAGCGGAAUUCCUAGUGUAGCGGUGAAAUGCGUAGAUAUUAGGAGGAACACCAGUGGCGAAG